rnacentral:lncRNA from 1 species
CAGACGCGUUCUGUCGAUUUGGGGUUUUUAAUAAACCCCAAAACUUACAUGGCGGAUUUCCGCCAUGUAAGUACACUUAAGUGCCGCCAGCACUUAAGUGAAAGUCCGCCCAAUCGAAAUUUGGGCGGGCUUUUUUCCGCCCGAGUCCCCGAAAACUUAAGAUGGCGGAUUUCCGCCAUCUUAAGUCAAUUUAAUCGGGUAAUCGGGUUAUCA